rnacentral:rRNA from 1 species
UACUCGAGUGGCGAACGGGUGAGUAACACGUGGGUGAUCUGCCCUGCACUUCGGGAUAAGCUUGGGAAACUGGGUCUAGUACCGGAUAGGAACCAUCUUUAGUGUGGUGGUUGGAAAGUUUUUUCGGUGUAGGAUGAGCUCGCGGCCUAUCAGCUUGUUGGUGGGGUAAUGGCCUACCAAGGCGGCGACGGGUAGCCGGCCUGAGAGGGUGUACGGCCACAUUGGGACCGAGAUACGGCCCAG